AGUGAACGCUGGCGGUAGGCCUAACACAUGCAAGUCGAACGGCAGCACAGUAAGAGCUUGCUCUUACGGGUGGCGAGUGGCGGACGGGUGAGGAAUACAUCGGAAUCUACUUUUUCGUGGGGGAUAACGUAGGGAAACUUACGCUAAUACCGCAUACGACCUACGGGUGAAAGCAGGGGAUCUUCGGACCUUGCGCGAUUGAAUGAGCCGAUGUCGGAUUAGCUAGUUGGCGGGGUAAAGGCCCACCAAGGCGACGAUCCGUAGCUGGUCUGAGAGGAUGAUCCGCAACAUGGGAACUGAGACACGGCCCGGACUCCUACGGGAGGCAGCAGUGGGGAAUUUUGGAAAAGGGGGGGAAGCCUGAUCCAGCCAUACCGGGGGGGUGAAGAAGGCCUUCGGGUUGUAAAGCCCUUUUUUUGGGAAAAAAAAGCAGCAGGUUAAAACCCCGCUGUUCUGACGGUACCCAAAGAAUAAGCACCGGCUAACUUCGU
rnacentral:rRNA from 1 species